AGUUUGAUUCUGGCUCAGGAUGAACGCUGGCGGCAUGCCUAAUACAUGCAAGUCGAACGGAGUGAAGCCUUCGGGUUUCAUUCAGUGGCGAACGGGUGAGUAAUACGCAGGGAACCUGGCCAUGGCAGGGGGAUACACUCUGGAAACGGAGCAUAAGACCCCAUAGGCAGUAAGGCGGCAUCGCCUUACUGUUAAAGAAAGCUGAAAGGCUUUGGCGAUGGAUGGACCUGCGGUGCAUUAGCUUGUUGGUGAGGCAACGGCUUACCAAGGCGAUGAUGCAUAGCCGGCCUGAGAGGGCGGACGGCCACACUGGGACUGAGACACGGCCCAGACUCCUGCGGGAGGCAGCAGUAGGGAAUUUUCGUCAAUGGGCGCAAGCCUGAACGAGCAAUGCCGCGUGAGUGAGGAAGGUCUUCGGACUGUAAAGCUCUGUUGCCGGGGAAAAAGGGGAAAUGCAGGAAAUGGCAUUUCAUGGAUGGUACCCGGCCAGAAAGCCACGGCUAACUAUGUGCCAGCAGCCGCGGUAAUACGUAGGUGGCGAGCGUUAUCCGGAAUGAUUGGGCGUAAAGGGUGCGCAGGCGGUCUGUUAAGUCUGAAGGCAAAGGGAUGAGCUCAACUCAUUUAUGAUUCAGAAACUGGCAGACUUGAGGACAGGAGAGGGCGGUGGAACUCCAUGUGUAGCGGUAAAAUGCGCAGAGAUAUGGAAGAACACCAGUGGCGAAGGCGGCCGCCUGGCCUGUGACUGACGCUGAGGCACGAAAGCGUGGGGAGCAAAUAGGAUUAGAUACCCUAGUAGUCCACGCCGUAAACGAUGAGGAGCAGGUGUUGGGAGUGAAAUCUCAGUGCCGAAGCCAACGCAGUGACUCCUCCGCCUGGGGAGUAUGCACGCAAGUGUGAAACUCAAAGGAAUUGACGGGGGCCCGCACAAGCGGUGGAGUAUGUGGUUUAAUUCGAAGCAACGCGAAGAACCUUACCAGGUUUUGACAUCGGAUGCGAAGGCGCAGAGAUGCGCUGGAGGCUAUCAUCCAGACAGGUGGUGCAUGGUUGUCGUCAGCUCGUGUCGUGAGAUGUUCAGUUAAGUCUGGCAACGAGCGCAACCCCCGUGGUAUGUUACUAACGCUUUAGGGCGAGGACUCAUAUCAGACUGCCGGUGACAAACCGGAGGAAGGCGGGGAUGACGUCAAAUCAUCAUGCCCCUUAUGACCUGGGCUACACACGUACUACAAUGGCGUCUACAGAGGGAAGCGACCCUGAGAAGGGAAGCGAAACCGGAAAAGGGCGUCCCAGUUCGGAUUGAAGUCUGCAACCCGACUUCAUGAAGAUGGAAUCGCUAGUAAUCGCGGAUCAGCAUGCCGCGGUGAAUACGUUCCCGGGCCUUGUACACACCGCCCGUCAAACCAUGGAAGCCGGCAACGCCCGAAGCCGGUGGCAUAACCUUUUAGGAGUGAGCCGUCGAAGGCGGGGCCGAUGACUGGGGUUAAGUUGUAACAAGGUACCC
rnacentral:rRNA from 1 species